AGGCAGCAGUGGGGAAUAUUGCACAAUGGGGGGAAACCCUGAUGCAGCCAUGCCGCGUGUGUGAAGAAGGCCUUCGGGGUUGUAAAGCACUUUCAGUAGGGAGGAAGGUAGUGUAGUUAACACCUGCAUUAUUUGACGUUACCUACAGAAGAAGCACCGGCUAACUCCGUGCCAGCAGCCGCGGUAAUACGGAGGGUGCGAGCGUUAAUCGGAAUUACUGGGCGUAAAGCGCAUGCAGGCGGCCUGUUAAGUCAGAUGUGAAAGCCCGGGGCUUAACCUCGGAAUUGCAUUUGAAACUGGCAGGCUAGAGUCUUGUAGAGGGGGGUAGGAAUUUCAGGUGUAGCGGUGAAAUGCGUAGAGAUCUGAAGGAAUACCAGUGGCGAAGGCGGCCCCCUGGACAAAGACUGACGCUCAGAUGCGAAAGCGUGGGGAGCAAACAGGAUUAGAUACCCUGGUAG
rnacentral:rRNA from 1 species